UUCAGGACUAGAUCUAUUGGUUGGUAUAUCUAUACUAGCCUCUAGAAUCUGCCUCAACAGCCGCUUGUCAUCUUGGGUGCUCUUUAUCGGGUGCUCAAGAUACUCGGCACGUUUACUUUGAAAAAAUUAGAGUGCUCAAAGCAGGCCUUGUGCUUGAAUACUGUUGCAUGGAAUAAUGGAAUAGGACUUCGGUUCUAUUUUGUUGGUUUUCGGUACCGAAGUAAUGAUUAAUAGAGACAGACGGGGGCAUCUGUAUGGUGGUGUUAGAGGUGAAAUUC
rnacentral:rRNA from 1 species